GGCGGCGACGCUGUCCCGGUAGGCUGGCUGGCGUGGCAGGCGUCAGAGGAAUGGAAGUAGAAGAGAUGGGUAAGCUACCCAGGCGUCGAUCCUGCUUCUCUGUGCUUUAUUUUCUCCAUCUUUUAAAAAAAGAGGAUUGAAAGCCCACGGAGCUGCGGUGGAGGGUAGAUGUGCAAGAAGACAUACGCACUCACACAGACUAAAGUUUAAGCACACACACACACGCAUAGUACGUACAUCCAUGCAUACACACGUACGUAUUCACAUUCACAGGGCUGAUGAGUAUCGGAUCUACAGAUCCAGGCAUUCCGAGUCGAUGACUCUUGUUUGAGGAAUCACCUGUAGCAGUCAUUUUAAGCGCGCGCACGCACGCGCACACUCACGGAGUUGGUGAUUUUUUUAAGCUUCUUGAAUAUGUCAGCAACAUGAUUUGGUGUUAGAAAUGGAACGAAGACAUCUUGAUAAUACAUCUUAUUUCAGCUUCAACUGAAGAGCAGCAAGAAGACCGGUCGGUGGGAAGUCGCACGGUUUGUUAAGGAUGGAGUCAUGACUAAAAUCUCAUUUCCAGCUCAGAAUCCUUGUACACAGUAGUCUAUGCAAACUGCUUUUAAAAUUGCUUUCAGAUGGUGUGGGUGUAUGGGUAGGAGGUUGGAGACUUGAAGGGAGUGAAGAGGGUGGCGAGGGGCAUUUAGAUACCCGUUUAAUGGCUCAGUAGGUAAGAGCAUUUGCGGCUCUUACAGAGGAUCAGAAUUUGGUUCCUAGCACCCAUAUAAUAUUGCUCACAAUGACGUUUUGUUGUAUAGGCAAAUGUAUAUGUUGAAUUGUGACAUGGGCAGAAGUAGCACCUGAAAUGCAGUAAUAUGCACAGUAUUAGAAGCUGUAUAAUUCUAGACACAAGGAUACAAAUGGUCUUAUAUUUUGUAUUUUCUUUAACAAUCCUGUUGCCUGUCAUUCCUGCUAGGAAUCGAUACCAGGGCCUCAAACAUGUGUGUAAGCCAAAGCCCCAGCCUUUACUGCUGUUAUUGUCUUAAGUAAAUGACUCAGACCUAUUUCUAGAGACUUACCAGUUCAUUGGAUUGGGACGUGGACCAGCGACAGGUCGUUUCCAUUUCUGCUCCUUCUGUUGGCCCGUUAGCUGCGUCUUACCUUCUGCUGGUGACCAGCUGUGUUCCAUUCUGUUUCCACCUCCCUUCUCUCUUUAGCAUGCUCAUGAGUGUUUAAUUGGUAUGAGUUCCCUGAAAGCAGGGAGUUGUUUCCAUGCUCUGAGUAUUCAGAGAUUAUGCAGCCAUAACCAUGCCUUUGAUAUGCAUAAUUCAAGGGGAGCAGACACAGGCCAGUGGUUGUAAUAUCGCCGCUUGAGUAUCUGUCAACGGUUUAUCAGCAGGUUGCAGCUGAGCAUGACCGUGAGGUAAAUACUGCCCCUGGUUGAAAUUUAGUUUCAUCAGCGUCAGCAUGGGAUUGUAAGGACAUGGACUAUAUCACAAAAUCCAGCAAGUCUCCCCCCUUUUUUUAGAUUUAUCUUUUCUUCUUGAAGAAAUAACAUGCUUAAACAAAGGUUCCUUAUGGUUAGUAACUGUGAUUCUUAAAGUUGGUCAACCCCUAGUUUAGGUAAAUUUUAAAUGUCAAAGAUCUAGAUAUCUUGUUAAAUUAAAAAAAGUAUUAAAAUCUUAA